rnacentral:lncRNA from 1 species
UGAAAGUCAGGUCGGAUUAAGCCAUAGCACGGGAAAAACUAUGCUACCUGUGAGCCCCGUCCAAGGACGUAAAAAGAAGUCAGGCCAUCACAAAAUGCCACAGCUUGAGCAAACUGUGCAGCCUGUAGCUCCACCUGAGGAGGUGUAAAAAACCCGGGAGGCCACAAACCAUGGAAGCUGUACGCAUGGCGUAGUGGACUAGCGGUUAGAGGAGACCCCUCCCUUACAAAUCGCAGCAACAACGGGGGCCCAAGGUGAGAUGAAGCUGUAGUCUCACUGGAAGGACUAGAGGUUAGAGGAGACCCCCCC